GCCCAAAUGGCGGAAUUGGUAGACGCGCUAGUUUCAGGGACUAGUGUUCAUUACGAACGUGCAGGUUCGAGUCCUGUUUUGGGCACCU
rnacentral:tRNA from 2 species